rnacentral:rRNA from 1 species
AGAGUUUGAUCCUGGCUCAGGACGAACGCUGGCGGCGUGCCUAACACAUGCAAGUCGAGCGAUGAAAUCCCUUCGGGGAUGGAUUAGCGGCGGACGGGUGAGUAACACGUGGGUAACCUGCCUCAAAGAGGGGGAUAGCCUCCCGAAAGGGAGAUUAAUACCGCAUAACAUUAGUUUUUCGCAUGGAAAACUAAUUAAAGGAGUAAUCCGCUUUGAGAUGGACCCGCGGCGCAUUAGCUAGUUGGUGAGGUAAAGGCUCACCAAGGCGACGAUGCGUAGCCGACCUGAGAGGGUGAUCGGCCACAUUGGAACUGAGACACGGUCCAGACUCCUACGGGAGGCAGCAGUGGGGAAUAUUGCACAAUGGGCGAAAGCCUGAUGCAGCAACGCCGCGUGAGUGAUGAAGGCCUUCGGGUUGUAAAGCUCUGUCUUUGGGGACGAUAAUGACGGUACCCAAGGAGGAAGCCACGGCUAACUACGUGCCAGCAGCCGCGGUAAUACGUAGGUGGCAAGCGUUGUCCGGAUUUACUGGGCGUAAAGGAUGCGUAGGCGGAUAUUUAAGUGAGAUGUGAAAUUCCCGGGCUUAACUUGGGAGCUGCAUUUCAAACUGGAUAUCUAGAGUGUGGGAGAGGAGAAUGGAAUUCCUAGUGUAGCGGUGAAAUGCGUAGAGAUUAGGAAGAACACCAGUGGCGAAGGCGAUUCUCUGGACCAUAACUGACGCUGAGGCAUGAAAGCGUGGGUAGCAAACAGGAUUAGAUACCCUGGUAGUCCACGCCGUAAACGAUGAGUACUAGGUGUAGGGGGGUCCAACCUUCUGUGCCGCAGUUAACACAAUAAGUACUCCGCCUGGGAAGUACGAUCGCAAGAUUAAAACUCAAAGGAAUUGACGG